AUGGAGAGUGGCCAGAGGAUCAAGGACGGCCAACCCCUGCCUCCUCUCCAGCAUGCUCGUCUCUGCCAUCUCUGCCGAAAAAGGAGACGGGAGCAAGAUGAGAAGACGAAGGAGAAGCCCUGCCAUCUCUGCCCCGUCCACUGCGUUGAGCGCGGGGACCGUCUGGGCUCUGCUUAUGCACCCCAAACUAUUCACCUCCACGCCACUUCCAAUCUCCCCAUCCCUUUCUUGAAGGGCAUAUUUCCAACAGUCUCCCACUUGCACUAG
rnacentral:rRNA from 1 species